rnacentral:rRNA from 1 species
CGAAGCUGCGGCAGCGACGCUUAUGCGUUGUUGGGUAGGGGAGCGUUCUGUAAGCCUGUGAAGGUGUACUGUGAGGUAUGCUGGAGGUAUCAGAAGUGCGAAUGCUGACAUAAGUAACGAUAAAGCGGGUGAAAAGCCCGCUCGCCGGAAGACCAAGGGUUCCUGUCCAACGUUAAUCGGGGCAGGGUGAGUCGACCCCUAAGGCGAGGCCGAAAGGCGUAGUCGAUGGGAAACAGGUUAAUAUUCCUGUACUUGGUGUUACUGCGAAGGGGGGACGGAGAAGGCUAUGUUGGCCGGGCGACGGUUGUCCCGGUUUAAGCGUGUAGGCUGGUUUUCCAGGCAAAUCCGGAAAAUCAAGGCUGAGGCGUGAUGACGAGGCACUACGGUGCUGAAGCAACAAAUGCCCUGCUUCCAGGAAAAGCCUCUAAGCAUCAGGUAACAUCAAAUCGUACCCCAAACCGACACAGGUGGUCAGGUAGAGAAUACCAAGGCGCUUGAGAGAACUCGGGUGAAGGAACUAGGCAAAAUGGUGCCGUAACU